AUGUUCCUGUGGGACUGGUUCUACGGGGUGCUGGCCUCCCUCGGCCUGUGGCAGAAGGAGGCCAAGAUCCUCUUCCUCGGCCUAGACAACGCCGGCAAGACCACUCUCCUCCACAUGCUCAAGGACGAGCGGCUGGUGCAGCACCAGCCGACGCAGCACCCCACGUCCGAGGAGCUCAGCAUCGGCAAGAUCAAGUUCAAAGCCUUCGACCUCGGCGGUCACCAGAUCGCUCGACGGGUCUGGAAGGACUACUACGCAAAGGUUGAUGCUGUAGUAUACUUGGUAGAUGCAUAUGACAAGGAGCGGUUUACUGAAUCAAAAAAGGAGCUUGAUGCUCUCCUUUCUGAUGAUUCCUUGGCAAAUGUCCCAUUUCUCAUCCUUGGCAAUAAGAUUGACAUUCCAUAUGCAGCAUCUGAAGAAGAGCUGCGGUAUCACCUAGGCCUUAGCAACUUCACAACUGGGAAGGGCAAGGUGAAUCUUGUUGACUCCAAUGUACGGCCUCUUGAGGUGUUCAUGUGCAGCGUUGUCCGCAAGAUGGGCUAUGGCGAUGGGUUUAAGUGGGUCUCCCAGUACAUCAAGUAG
rnacentral:rRNA from 1 species